UACGAAGGGGGCUAGCGUUGUUCGGAAUCACUGGGCGUAAAGGGCGCGUAGGCGGCCGAUCAAGUCGGGGGUGAAAGCCUGUGGCUCAACCACAGAAUUGCCUUCGAUACUGUUUGGCUUGAGACCGGAAGAGGUUAGUGGAACUGCGAGUGUAGAGGUGAAAUUCGUAGAUAUUCGCAAGAACACCAGUGGCGGAAGGCGGCUGACUGGUCCGGUUCUGACGCUGAGGCGGCGAAAGCGUGGGGAGCAAACAGG
rnacentral:rRNA from 1 species